rnacentral:rRNA from 1 species
GAUGUACUGCUUCUAACGUCCUUCAUGGACACUUAAUGACAAUUGACUCAAUCAGUA